rnacentral:misc_RNA from 1 species
UAUUUUAGUACGAAAGGACCAGAUAUUUAAAAUAAUUUUUUAAAAGGGAUAAUAUUAAUAGAAUAUUACUUUGGCAGAAUAGUGUAAUGAAUUUAGAAUUCAUAAAUGUAAUUUUUUUACAAGUAAUACUUGAAUGAUUUUUUAGUUUCUUUAAUCAAUAGAUUAAUUUUA